rnacentral:rRNA from 1 species
GUCUAUAGCCAUGCCACCCUGAACAAGCUCGAUCCCGUCUGAUCUUGGAAGCUAAGCAAGGUCGGGCCUGGUUAGUACUUGGAUGGGAGACCACCUAGGAAGACUGGGUGCUGUAGGCA